rnacentral:rRNA from 1 species
AACGAACGCUAGCGGCAAGCUUAACACAUGCAAGUCGAACGAAUUGUAGCUGUAGUUUACUAUGGGUACAGUUAGUGGCAGACGGGUGAGUAAUGCAUAGGAAUCUGCCUAGUAGUAUGGAAUAGCUGUUAGAAAUGACAGGUAAUACCGUAUAAUCCCUGCGGGGGAAAGAUUUAUCGCUAUUAGAUGAGCCUAUGUUAGAUUAGCUAGUUGGUAAGGUAAUGGCUUACCAAGGCUAUGAUCUAUAGCUGGUCUGAGAGGACGAUCAGCCACACUGGAACUGAGAUACGGUCCAGACUCCUACGGGAGGCAGCAGUGGGGAAUAUUGGACAAUGGGCGCAAGCCUGAUCCAGCUAUGCCGCAUGAGUGAAGAAGGCCUUAGGGUUGUAAAACUCUUUCAGCAGGGAAGAUAAUGACGGUACCUGCAGAAG